rnacentral:rRNA from 1 species
CUCAGUAACACGUGGAUAACCUGCCCUUAGGACUGGCAUAACCCCGGGAAACUGGGGAUAAUUCCGGAUAGUUCAUGGUAGCUGGAAUGCUCCAUGAUCGAAAGCUACUGCGCCUAAGGAUGGGUCUGCGGUCUAUCAGGUAGUAGUGGGUGUAAUGUACCUACUAGCCGACGACGGAUACGGGUUGUGGGAGCAAGAGCCCGGAGAUGGAUUCUGAGACAUGAAUCCAGGCCCUACGGGGCGCAGCAGGCGCGAAAACUUUACAAUGCGGGAAACCGCGAUAAGGGGACACCGAGUGCCAGCAUCUUAUGUUGGCUGUCCGCAUGUAUAAAUCACAUGUGUUAGCAAGGGCCGGGCAAGACCGGUGCCAGCCGCCGCGGUAACACCGGCGGCCCGAGUGGUGGCCACUAUUAUUGGGUCUAAAGGGUCCGUAGCCGGUUUGGUCAGUCUUCCGGGAAAUCUGACGGCUUAACCGUUAGGCUUUCGGGGGAUACUACCA